CCUACGGGUGGCACCAGUGGGGAAUAUUGGACAAUGGGCGAAAGCCUGAUCCAGCAAUGCCGCGUGUGUGAAGAAGGUCUUCGGAUUGUAAAGCACUUUCGACGGGGACGAUGAUGACGGUACCCGUAGAAGAAGCCCCGGCUAACUACGUGCCAGCAGCCGCGGUAAUACGAAGGGGGCUAGCGUUGCUCGGAAUGACUGGGCGUAAAGGGCGCGUAGGCGGUUUAUGCAGUCAGAUGUGAAAUCCCCAGGCUUAACCUGAGAACUGCAUUUGAGACGCAUAGACUAGAGGUCGAGAGAGGGUUGUGGAAUUCCCAGUGUAGAGGUGAAAUUCGUAGAUAUUGGGAAGAACACCAGUGGCGAAGGCGGCAACCUGGCUCGAUACUGACGCUGAGGCGCGAAAGCGUGGGGAGCAAACAGGAUUAGAUACCCCAGUAGUC
rnacentral:rRNA from 1 species